rnacentral:rRNA from 1 species
GCCUAACACAUGCAAGUCGAGCGGAUGAGUGGAGCUUGCUCCAUGAUUCAGCGGCGGACGGGUGAGUAAUGCCUAGGAAUCUGCCUGGUAGUGGGGGACAACGUUUCGAAAGGAACGCUAAUACCGCAUACGUCCUACGGGAGAAAGCAGGGGACCUUCGGGCCUUGCGCUAUCAGAUGAGCCUAGGUCGGAUUAGCUAGUAGGUGAGGUAAUGGCUCACCUAGGCGACGAUCCGUAACUGGUCUGAGAGGAUGAUCAGUCACACUGGAACUGAGACACGGUCCAGACUCCUACGGGAGGCAGCAGUGGGGAAUAUUGGACAAUGGGCGAAAGCCUGAUCCAGCCAUGCCGCGUGUGUGAAGAAGGUCUUCGGAUUGUAAAGCACUUUAAGUUGGGAGGAAGGGCAGUAAGUUAAUACCUUGCUGUUUUGACGUUACCAACAGAAUAAGCACCGGCUAACUUCGUGCCAGCAGCCGCGGUAAUACGAAGGGUGCAAGCGUUAAUCGGAAUUACUGGGCGUAAAGCGCGCGUAGGUGGUUCAGCAAGUUGGAGGUGAAAUCCCCGGGCUCAACCUGGGAACUGCCUCCAAAACUACUGAGCUAGAGUACGGUAGAGGGUAGUGG